rnacentral:rRNA from 1 species
UGAGUGCGAGCUGCUACGGCAGCGAAGUUGGUGACGUCAAGCUUCCAAGAAAAGCCCUAUACCCGUUAAGGCAUCAUGGCCUGUACCCGAAACCGACACAGGUGGGGUGGUAGAGAAUACCGAGGGGCGCGAGGUAACUCUCUCUAAGGAACUCGGCAAAAUGGCCCCGUAACUUCGGGAGAAGGGGUGCCACCGCAAGGUGGUCGCAGUGAAGAGGCCCAGGCGACUGUUUACCAAAAACACAGGUCUCCGCUAAGUCGCAAGACGAUGUAUGGGGGCUGACGCCUGCCCAGUGCCGGAAGGUUAAGGAAGCUGGUCAGCGCAAGCGAAGCUGGCGACUGAAGCCCCGGUGAACGGCGGCCGUAACUAUAACGGUCCUAAGGUAGCGAAAUUCCUUGUCGGGUAAGUUCCGACCCGCACGAAAGGCGUAACGAUCUGGGCGCUGUCUCGGAGAGAGGCUCGGCGAAAUAGAAUUGUCUGUGAAGAUGCGGACUACGUGCACCCGGACAGAAAGACCCUAUGAAGCUUUACUGUAGCUUGGUAUUGUGCCCGGGCUCUGAAUGCGCAGGAUAGGUGGGAGGCUUUGAUCAUCGGCUUGCGGGUCGAUGUGAGCCAACGGUGAGAUACCACUCUUUCAGAGCUAGGGUUCUAACAGUCACCCGUUAUCCGGGGACUGGACAGUAUCAGGUGGGCAGUUUGACUGGGGCGGUCGCCUCCUAAAAGGUAACGGAGGCGCGCAAAGGUCUGCUCAGGCUGGUUGGAAAUCAGCCGACGAGUGUAAAAGCAGAAGCAGGCUUGACUGUGAGACCUACAAGUCGAACAGGGAGGAAACUCGGCUUUAGUGAUCCGACGGUUCUGCGUGGAAGGGCCGUCGCUCAACGGAUAAAAGUUACUCUAGGGAUAACAGGCUGGUCUCCCCCAAGAGUUCACAUCGACGGGGAGGUUUGGCACCUCGAUGUCGGCUCAUCGCAACCUGGGGCUGAAGUCGGUCCCAAGGGUUGGGCUGUUCGCCCAUUAAAGCGGUACGCGAGCUGGGUUCAGAACGUCGUGAGACAGUUCGGUCCAUAUCCGGUGCAUGCGCAGGAAUAUUGAGAGGAGUUCUCCCUAGUAUGAGAGGACCGGGAGGAACGCACCUCUGGUGUACCAGUUAUCGUGCCAACGGUAAACGCUGGGUAGCCAUGUGCGGAGAGGAUAACCGCUGAAAGCAUCUAAGUGGGAAUCCCACCUC